rnacentral:rRNA from 1 species
GAUGAACGCUAGCUCCAGGCUUAACACAUGCAAGUCGAGGGGAAACGACAUCGAAAGCUUGCUUUUGAUGGGCGUCGACCGGCGCACGGGUGAGUAACGCGUAUCCAACCUGCCCAUCACUUGGGGAUAACCUUGCGAAAGUAAGACUAAUACCCAAUGAUAUCUCUAGAAGACAUCUGAAAGAGAUUAAAGAUUUAUCGGUGAUGGAUGGGGAUGCGUCUGAUUAGCUUGUUGGCGGGGUAACGGCCCACCAAGGCAACGAUCAGUAGGGGUUCUGAGAGGAAGGUCCCCCACAUUGGAACUGAGACACGGUCCAAACUCCUACGGGAGGCAGCAGUGAGGAAUAUUGGUCAAUGGGCGAGAGCCUGAACCAGCCAAGUAGCGUGCAGGAAGACGGCCCUAUGGGUUGUAAACUGCUUUUAUAAGGAAAUAAAGUGAGAGUCGUGACUCUUUUUGUAUGUACCUUAUGAAUAAGGACCGGCUAAUUCCGUG